rnacentral:rRNA from 1 species
AUGGGGGUAGUAACCUGGAUGCCGGUCUUGGAGGGGCCGGGGAAGCCCUAUGGAGCCGACGCGCACGCCCCGGGAGCUUCCACGAUGCCCGCCGAUGCCAUGGGCGCGUUGUCCACGCCGCCGCCUCCACGGUCAGCUGGCAUCUCCCUCCGCCGCCGCCAAAAUUUCCUUCUCGGCUCUUUCCGGGAGGCGUGUCGUGUCGUGUCUGAUACCAGCCAUUUCCAGAAGAGAGGGGGAAAAAGAUCGUUUUCCCCCUCUUUCCCCCCCUCUCUUUUUCCAGUACACACGCCGGCAAGGCCUGGUUAUUAA